rnacentral:rRNA from 1 species
UCGAGGGGUAUAGGUUUUCGGACCUAGAGACCGGCGCACGGGUGCGUAACGCGUAUGCAAUCUACCUUUUACAGAGGGAUAGCCCAGAGAAAUUUGGAUUAAUACCUCAUAGUGUAAUUGAAUGGCAUCAUUUAAUUACUAAAGUUCCAACGGUAAAAGAUGAGCAUGCGUCCUAUUAGCUAGUUGGUGUGGUAACGGCACACCAAGGCGACGAUAGGUAGGGGUCCUGAGAGGGAGAUCCCCCACACUGGUACUGAGACACGGACCAGACUCCUACGGGAGGCAGCAGUGAGGAAUAUUGGACAAUGGGCGCAAGCCUGAUCCAGCCAUGCCGCGUGCAGGAAGAAGCAUCUAUGGUGUGUAAACUGCUUUUGUACGGGAAGAAACACCUCUACGUGUAGAGGCUUGACGGUACCGUAAGAAUAAGGAUUGGCUAACUCCGUGCCAGCAGCCGCGGUAAUACGGAGGAUCCAAGCGUUAUCCGGAAUCAUUGGGUUUAAAGGGUCCGUAGGCGGUUUAAUAAGUCAGUGGUGAAAGCCCAUCGCUUAACGAUGGAACGGCCAUUGAUACUGUUAGACUUGAAUUAUUGGGAAGUAACUAGAAUAUGUAGUGUAGCGGUGAAAUGCUUAGAUAUUACAUGGAAUACCAAUUGCGAAGGCAGGUUACUAUCAAUAUAUUGACGCUGAUGGACGAAAGC